rnacentral:lncRNA from 1 species
GCUUUUUUUUUUUUUUUUCGUGUGUGUGUCCAGUUAUAAACCUCAGAGGAGAAACCCAACCAGAGGGGCUGGGAGCAUUGCCCAAGCCGUCUGAUUAUUGUUUUAGGACGGGAAUGAAAUCGAUUUUCCCCACAUCUUGCUGACAGGCUUUCGGUGCCUGCAGCCUGCAGCCUCUCCAGCACCACAACACUGGGACUGGCCGGAGCUGCCGAGCCAGGGGAAAUGCAAGAUACUGCCCCGAUCUGACAUUUCAGAAAAGACAAAAAAUCUCACGGAAUUUUAGCUCCAGAUCAAACCGUCUUUUGGCCGCAAUUUCCACGUAAAUCUGUUUCUAAUGAAGAGGCGUUUCCACACGCGAAACCUCGGGCUGCCUCUCCCAGCAGUAAUAAUAAUUACGCUGGCGGAGCCUGCCUUGUUUUCUGGUGUAUAAAAUAGGCUCAGAUAUGGUUGUGCAGGGUGUAUGCAGUAAGGCUAAACAAUCACAAGGAACGGUACAAAGAAGCUACCUAUUUAUUCAGGACUAUUGCCUUCCUGGAGGCAAUAAACUCAUUAUUUCAUAAAGGAGGCAUAUUUGAACUUUGCUCCUACCCGGUCAUCUUCUUGCGAGCACUGUUCCUAAGGGCACAGUGGUCCGGCUGGGUUGGAGGUAAAUGCCGGAUGGCAGGGAGGGCAGCACCGCAGCCAUCUUCCCGAGAGCUUUCCAGAGAGCCCCAAAGUUUGUCUCUGGCGCCCUUGUACAAGCGCACGGUGUUUGGGCUUGAGCGAGGGAAAACGAGGUGAUCGGGACUCGUGCUUUGAAUUUCGGGACGGAUUUCGGUGCCAACUGUGGAUUGCUGGAGCCGAGCGGGCAGCCUCCCUCGCGCGCUAGGGCGUGUAACUGGGACUUGGCUCUCCCGCGUGAACCACCGCCCGCUCCCCAUCCGCCGAGCAGCGACCGGCGGACACCGCUCCUGCCAUCGGGGAGCGGCCACGCCACGGAGCCCGGGGAGCUGGGAGCCCGCUCCCCGCGGGGCACCUUCCUCGACGGAGCCCCCCUGGCUCCGCUCCCGCCU